AGUGGUGAGUCUCAGAAUGGGCUGCGAUACACAGGAGAGCUGGGAGGUGCCAAGGAUAAGCUUUACUCACUUCUCAGUUUUUCAUGGGAUUGACUCUGAUAUGCUGACUUUUUUUUUUUGGCAGGUUACAGUUGAAGAUUUUGAAAUUGUUUGCAAAGGUCUGUAUCGGGCACUAUGCACACGUGAGAAAUACAUGCAGAAGUCGUUUCAGAGGUUCCCUAAAACCCCUUCCAAAUACUUGCGGAACAUUGAUGGUGAGGCUUGGGUAGCAAAUGAGAGCUUCUAUCCAGUCUUUACUCCUCCUGUGAAGAAGGGAGAGGACCCUUUCCGAACAGACAACCUUCCUGAAAACCUGGGCUAUCACCUCAAAAUGAAGGACGGUGUAGUUUACGUCUAUCCUAAUGAAGCAGCAGUCAGCAAAGAUGAGCCUAAGCCACUUCCUUACCCAAAUCUGGACACCUUCUUAGAUGAUAUGAAUUUUUUACUUGCUUUAAUUGCUCAAGGACCUGUUAAGACCUAUACCCACCGGCGCCUGAAGUUCCUCUCCUCCAAGUUCCAGGUCCAUCAGAUGCUUAACGAGAUGGACGAGUUAAAGGAGCUGAAAAACAACCCCCACCGAGAUUUUUAUAACUGCAGGAAGGUGGACACCCAUAUCCAUGCAGCCGCUUGCAUGAACCAGAAACAUCUGCUGCGUUUUAUUAAGAAAUCUUACCAAAUUGAUGCUGACAGAGUGGUCUAUAGCACCAAAGAGAAGAAUCUGACCCUAAAGGAACUUUUUGCUAAAUUAAAAAUGCAUCCUUAUGACCUGACUGUUGAUUCUCUGGAUGUUCAUGCUGGACGCCAGACCUUCCAGCGUUUUGAUAAGUUCAAUGACAAAUAUAAUCCUGUAGGAGCAAGUGAGCUACGGGAUCUCUACUUGAAGACAGACAAUUACAUUAAUGGGGAAUAUUUUGCCACUAUCAUCAAGGAGGUAGGUGCGGACCUGGUGGAGGCCAAGUACCAGCAUGCUGAGCCCCGCCUGUCCAUCUAUGGCCGCAGUCCUGAUGAGUGGAGCAAACUCUCCUCCUGGUUCGUCUGCAAUCGCAUCCACUGCCCCAACAUGACAUGGAUGAUCCAGGUUCCCAGGAUCUAUGAUGUGUUCCGUUCCAAGAAUUUCCUUCCACAUGUUCUCCUCCAAGAGUCCCAAGCCCCAGGAGUGGACAUUGGAAAAGAAUCCAUCUUACACUUACUAUGCCUACUACAUGUAUGCAAACAUCAUGGUGCUCAACAGCCUGAGAAAGGAACGAGGCAUGAAUACGUUUCUGUUCCGACCUCACUGUGGAGAAGCUGGAGCCCUCACCCAUCUCAUGACAGCAUUCAUGAUAGCAGAUAAUAUCUCUCAUGGCCUAAAUUUAAAAAAGAGUCCCGUGCUACAGUACUUGUUUUUCUUAGCCCAAAUUCCCAUCGCCAUGUCACCACUAAGUAACAAUAGCCUAUUUCUAGAGUAUGCCAAAAAUCCUUUUUUGGAUUUCCUUCAGAAAGGGCUAAUGAUCUCACUGUCUACAGAUGACCCAAUGCAAUUCCACUUUACCAAGGAGCCCCUAAUGGAAGAAUAUGCUAUUGCUGCACAAGUCUUCAAGCUGAGCACCUGUGAUAUGUGCGAAGUGGCAAGGAACAGUGUCUUGCAGUGUGGAAUUUCUCAUGAGGAGAAAGUAAAGUUUCUGGGCGACAAUUACCUUGAGGAAGGCCCUGCUGGAAAUGAUAUCCGGAGGACAAAUGUAGCCCAAAUCCG
rnacentral:sRNA from 1 species